AAUUGUGUUUGACUGCUGAAUU
rnacentral:miRNA from 1 species